GCAUGCGCAUCUGCGCAUCGCGCUCCUGCCCUAGACGCUAGCUCGGGGACGUGUUCCCUCGGGGGGCGAUGGACUAGGCGACACCAGGGACUACGAGGGACGGUAUCUGCCACGCCGAGUCACCAUGAAGCUGCGAGUGAAAUCUUCUUCCAAGUCACUGCAUUCAAAGGGAUCCUCUGGCGAAGGAGACUUCUGCUUUGGGGAAAGAGGUGGAAGCAAAAAUCUCCUCUGGACGGAUUUUCUCUCCAGCCCCUGGCCUUCCAUCCUCCCUUCAGAGCCGAACCGGAAGUGCUGGUGUCCCUCACUCACGUCGUCCCCUCCCUCCGACUUACAAAGACCACCAAUGAUUACUUUAUUACAUAGUUUAAUUCGUCAUCCUUCUAAAGGUCUCAAAAGCAGUCUUCAUCCAUCUUGUGGAUUUGGGUUGUUACAGGCAACACUGGAGAGAAGCUAAUGCGAGAGCUGUAUGCUGCUCUUUAUUUUCAAGAGGACUCGUCGUGUGACAUCUCUCAGGCUGUGAGCAUCCUGGUGACUCCAGAUAAAUGAAACAUUUGAGCUUAAAAUAUAUAUUUGGCUACCGAGUGUAUAUAUUUUACUGUCAGGAAAUAGAAAAACAAAUCAGUAUAGGUCUCUUCAUCAGAUUUAGUUGAUUGAUGCCUAACAACUGUAAAACCCUACAAGCUUCAAAGUAUUAAGGCUUUCUAGAAUAAAUAACGUAGCUUCAUUACUUAUUUUACUAUAAAUAGGAUGUGCUUUGUUUUUGAAAAUAAGUUUCAAAGAAGUAGGACAUAUCUUAAGAUACACGGAAAUCUCGAGAUCCAAAAGAACAGAUUGUUUUUGAAGAAAAAUCAUUCAGUAUACAUUUUAAAUACAAGCAUUUGAUUUAGAAAAAAUUGUCAUUUUCAUCCUUGUCAUCAGUAUCACUGGCAUUAUCAUCACCAUCAAAAGCUAGUGUCCUAAGGCCAAAAGAACGUCGAACCAGGUCCUGCUGGAGCCAAACUGUUCAGAGGUCAAGGGCCAAGGCUCUGGUCUCAGCCCGC